rnacentral:rRNA from 1 species
GGUUGACCUCGGAUCAGGUAGGGUUACCCGCUGAACUUAAGCAUAUCAAUAAGCGGAGGAAAAGAAACCAACAGGGAUUGCCUCAGUAACGGCGAGUGAAGCGGCAAGAGCUCAAAUUUGAAAUCUGGCCCCUCCGGGGUCCGAGUUGUAAUUUGGAGAGGAUGCUUCGGGCGUGGCCCCCAUCUAAGUGCCCUGGAACGGGCCGUCAUAGAGGGUGAG